UUGACGGGGCCCGCACAAGCGGUGGAGCAUGUGGUUUAAUUCGAUGCAACGCGAAGAACCUUACCAGGCCUUGACAUCCUGCGAACUUUUCUAGAGAUAGAUUGGUGCCUUCGGGAACGCAGUGACAGGUGCUGCAUGGCUGUCGUCAGCUCGUAUCGUGAGAUGUUGGGUUAAGUCCCGUAACGAGCGCAACCCUUGUCCUUAGUUGCCAGCGCGUAAUGGCGGGAACUCUAAGGAGACUGCCGGUGACAAACCGGAGGAAGGUGGGGAUGACGUCAAGUCAUCAUGGCCCUUACGGCCUGGGCUACACACGUGCUACAAUGGCCGGUACAGAGGGUUGCCAACCCGCGAGGGGGAGCUAAUCCCAGAAAACCGGUCGUAGUCCGGAUCGGAGUCUGCAACUCGACUCCGUGAAGUCGGAAUCGCUAGUAAUCGCGAAUCAGAAUGUCGCGGUGAAUACGUUCCCGGGCCUU
rnacentral:rRNA from 1 species